CUCAAUCUUCCUUUUGUCUCGUGUGAUGAAGAUUAUACUUUUUGUCUUUGCUUAAUAAUAUACAUUACCGUAAAAUAGUGGGUUGAAAAUCUGUUUUUGUUACCUUUUCAUAUUUUCUUGAUUCAUAAAUUUUAAACUGUAAACAUAUCUAGAUUUUUUUUUUAAAGUACAACAAAAGUAUUCAUGAAAUCAUGCUCUAAAAUUCAUGAAAUUGUGCUCUAACUUUUACCUGAUGUUUUAGAAAAUACCAAGAAUUUAUAAAACCAUACUGAUACCGAAGAGAAAUUAAGAUGAUUAAAGAAUUUGAAAAUUUAAUUUCGAUUAUACAAAAUAAAAUAAUUAAAAAUUAAUAUAAUAUAUGUUUCAUAAAAUAAUCGUCGGAAUUGUCCGACACCCCGCAAGUUGGGAAUGCGCCAGCCCUAUUCUCAAUUGGCUGAUUCCUUUAUUCAAAUACCUAAAAUGCCCCCACAUAAUCCCAUAUUCACACUUCAUCACAGAGGGCAAAACAAUAAACUCACAAUUAUUAUUCCCACUCCAAUAAUUCCACGGUUCUCCUACAAUAUUAUAAAUUUAACCACUAUCCAUUAAAUUAAAAAAAGCCUUUUUGUUUUGGGUUAAGAGAAAAGGGUAUUAUUUCCAUUCUAGCAAAUAAUCAGAUCCAAAACUCUGAACCCUAGGAAAAAUCAACCAUGUCUUCUAAGCAAGGUGGAAAGGCAAAGCCUUUGAAGGCACCAAAGUCUGAAAAGAAGGAGUACGACGAG